GGAGUCUAUUUUUAAUCUUUUGACUUCCUGUUGAUAAAAAUAGAAGAACGUGAAGUUCAAAAGAUGUCCUCAUAGAUGGUCUAAGCAAGCAAAUUCGGCUUUUUCAACGACAUAAACUUUUUCUUUCUUGGGGUAGUGGAGGUCACUUGAGCCAGUAAUCAUCGGGCAGGGAUCUUAGGCAAAUGUCCAUUUAACAUUCAAUUUUUCAAGACAUUUUAGUUGAGUGACUACUGCUGAAUCUGAGCUUUCGUGCUGGGAUUCUUCUUGAGCGGAUCAGAUUCAGCUGCUACCCUCGUCCGUUUUGUCUACCAAGGAUAUCAGAAAAGAAGAAAAUGAAGGGGUCAAGUGUCAAGAUGGGGAACAGCAAGAUUGGACCCAAAUUGGCCUAAGGAAGAAGAUCUCAUCCCUGAUUAUACACUAGAAUGGUAUUGAGAAACUUAAGAACAAAAACCAAGGAAACAAUCCAGUUCUCAGCCCCUAUCCUAGACCAAAUGAGUCAAACAUUCUGGAGGACCACUUGAGACAUUGUUACUUUUACAAGCUCCCCAGGUGAUUCUCCUGAGUCAGGGUUCACCUACAGGGCAGUGGUCUCAAAAUUAGCAUCAGAAUCACCUGGAGCAAUUAUUAAAGGACACAUUGUUGAGUCCCAGCCCCAGAGAUUCCAAUUAAGUAGGUUUGGGGCAGGGCCUAGAAUUUGUCAUUAACAAGUCUCUUGCUGGGGCUGUUAGUCAAGGGACUACCUUUUUCAGAACCAGCUUAUAUAAAUACCAGGAAGCUGCCCCAAGGAUAUACUAUUUCACCCAGGACUAGCAGGACACGUGGACAAAGAGAAAGCAGGUCACUGGGGAGGGCUUUGGGCAUAUGGCUUCUGAAGAGACCUAGGUCAAGAAAGAGCACUGGAGAAAUUGAAAAAAAGUUAAGGAAAAGCACAGAUCUUCGAGCACAUACUUUGGUGUUUUUUAUAAAUGAUCUACAGUAGUGUUCCACUCUUCUAGUCCAAAACAUACAAGCUGUUAAUCUGAGUGAGAUGAUGGAAACCCACAGUGGAAUCAAGACACAGGGAUCCCGAACAUGAGUCACCCCUCAGGUUAAACAAACACUGGAAUUUAGAACAUCUCCAUAAUGACCUCCCUGGCUCAACUGUCCAAUCAAACCAUGUGCUCAUCCAAUCUACUGCACUUGUUUCUUUCCAGUUCAUUCCUCUUCAUAAAAGACCAUCCGUUUUCUGCUUGACCUCUGGAUUUGUUUGCAGACCUCAUGGUCUGAGCUUUCUUCCUACUUCAGUAACUCCCUUCCAUUAUUGCAACCAUCUUUUUGAAUAAAGUCUCCCCCUAAAGUCCAGAUAUCUUAUGUUAUGUUG